UACAGAGGAUGCAAGCGUUAUCCGGAAUGAUUGGGCGUAAAGGGCUCGUAGGCGGCCAACUAAGUCAGACGUGAAAUCCCUCGGCUUAACCGGGGAACUGCGUCUGAUACUGGAUGGCUUGAGAUUGGGAGAGGGAUGCGGAAUUCCAGGUGUAGCGGUGAAAUGCGUAGAUAUCUGGAGGAACACCGGUGGCGAAGGCGGCAUCCUGGACCAACACUGACGCUGAGGAGCGAAAGCCAGGGGAGCAAACGGG
rnacentral:rRNA from 1 species